GCCGGAUUAGCUCAGUUGGUAGAGCAGCGCACUUGUAAUGCGAAGGUCGUCAGUUCGAAUCCGACAUCCGGCACCA
rnacentral:tRNA from 6 species